ACUCUCACUCUCAAGAGUUUUUUCUUUUGAGACGUGGAUUUGGGUGUUGCUAUUAGCUCACCUUGAAUGACUUAGUGGUUUACGACCGUAGCCUGAUGUAAUAAGUUUCAUUAGGUCAAGGUUUAGAAGACUGCUUCUAAUCGCCCUUUUGUGGCACUAUUUUAAG
rnacentral:misc_RNA from 1 species